AGUGAACGCUGGCGGUAGGCCUAACACAUGCAAGUCGAACGGCAGCACAGUAAGAGCUUGCUCUUACGGGUGGCGAGUGGCGGACGGGUGAGGAAUACAUCGGAAUCUACUUUUUCGUGGGGGCUCACGUAGGGAAACUUACGCUACUACCGCAUAUGACCUACGGGUGAAAGCAGGGGAUCUUCGGACCUUGCGCGAUUGAAUGAGCCGAUGUCGGAUUAGCUAGUUGGCGGGGUAAAGGUGCACCAAGGCGACGAUCCGUAGCCGGUCUGAGAGGAUGAUCAGCCACACUGGAACUGAGACACGGUCCAGACUCCUACGGGAGGCAGCAGUGGGGAAUAUUGGACAAUGGGCGCAAGCCUGAUCCAGCCAUACCGCGUGGGUGAAGAAGGCCUUCGGGUUGUAAAACCCUUUUGUUGGGAAAGAAAAGCAGCAGGUUAAUACCCCGCUGUUCUGACGGUACCCAAAGAAUAAGCACCGGCUAACUUCGUG
rnacentral:rRNA from 1 species